AGCAGCCGCGGUAAUUCCAGCUCCAAUAGCGUAUAUUAAAGUUGUUGCAGUUAAAAAGCUCGUAGUUGAAUUUCGGAAUCGACGGAUUGGUCGCGCCUUUGGUGUGUACUGGUCUUGCCGGUUUCUCCCUUCUGACGAACCACGAUGUCAUUAAUUUGGUGUCGUGGGGAAUCAGGACUGUUACUUUGAAAAAAUUAGAGUGUUUAAAGCAGGCAUUAGCUUGAAUACAUUAGCAUGGAAUAAUGAAAUAGGACGUUUGAUCUUAUUUUGUUGGUUUCUAGGAUCGACGUAAUGAUUAAUAGGGAUAGUUGGGGGCAUUAGUAUUCAAUUGUCAGAGGUGAAAUUCUUGGAUUUAUUGAAGACUAACUACUGCGAAAGCAUUUGCCAAGGAUGUUUUCAUUAAUCAAGAACGAAAGUUAGGGGAUCGAAGACGAUCAGAUACCGUCGUAGUCUUAACCAUAAACUAUGCCGACUAGGGAUCGGAUGAUGUUAAUUUUUUAAUGACUCAUUCGGCGCCUUACG
rnacentral:rRNA from 1 species